UCCGCCCUACGUUCCGACUCGGAGCAUGAUGAGGAUCUGAAUCUGAGUGUGUAAGAGCUUCGUUCAUCCGUCAGAGACAUGUUUUCCCUUUCACUGCACCUCUCUGUGUGUCUCUCUGACCCUCCCUCGCUCACAUGGGUGGUCUCUCUCUCUCUCUCUCUUUCUGCUGCAUUCCGGCUGUUUCUCUCUCUCCUCCACCCAUCCAUCUCUUGCACUGUCUCCUCCCCUAGAGGGGUCUGUCACUCUUGGUCUGUGACUGACCCCGCGCUGAGUCCUGCCACCAGUCUGGAUGCACACGCUCGUGCUCGCUCACAUACUAGCAUAUACCCUGAUCGCUGGGUCAGAUCGACCUGAUGAUUUGCUGAUUAUUGUACUAAUCCUGCUAUUGUGACGUUUUGUCUUCACUGCUCCAGUAGUCAUAGGGACUGGUCAUUGUCUCCCCCCUCCUCACCCAGCACAACUUGCUGACAGGCCCAGUUAAGCUUUUAUCACUAUAAGCUACUGUUCCCUUUCUGCUGUGUACUCGCUGCUUGUUCAGUGCCCCUCUCGCUCUCUUCCUGACUCUGUCUCAGUGUCUCUUUAUCUCUUUCUAUCUCAUUCAUGCUCUGGUUUUUUUGCUCUCUCUCGUGCAUGCUCUGCUGUCUAUCCUGGAGUCUAUAUCAUUCUUCUCUCUUUGUGGCUUUUAGUCUCAGUUCAUCUAUCACUCUCUGCUCCUCCCUCUGUCUCACUUUUCCCCUCUGUGACUGUCACUGUCUGUAUAUGAGGCUGCAUCCCUGUCCGUUUCUCAUUCGAGCCCUGUGAAGACCAGGAUAUGUUGCGAUUCUAAAGAUGCGGGACUGGUGGAUGCGUUACCGACUGUUCUGUCCAAUCCUGGGAGAUUACAGUCAAGGUCCGUGGUCGGGGAGAAAUCUAUUGAGGACCAAUGAGGGUGGCAGAGUCGCUGAAGAGAUUGAUGGAGGAUUACAAGGAAUGGAUGGUUCUACAACAAUGUCACUUACCUUCCAUGUUGAUGGCGCCGAGCUGUCAGAGAGCAGAACUCUCCAGGACAACGAGAUGGAAAGCGACCAUGUAAUCGUUGUCCGGAUAUGGUCCUCCUGAAUGCCCAGCUGUGAACAGUGUUUGUUAUUGGCUGUCGGGAUGAAGGUGUCUGUUGUACAUAUUGACGACUGACCCAGAUCAUGCCCCAAUCUCGUGACAGUUAGGCAAAACAGUAGACGUUAUCAACUUGGACUUUAGUAAAGCAUUUGACAGGGUUCCACAGGGUAGACUAAUCAUUAAAAUUAGAUUACAUGGGAUUCAGGGAGAGCUUGCCAACUGGAUUCAAAAUUGUCUUGAUGGUAGGAGACAAAGAGGGGCCAUGGAGAUUGUUUUUCAGAAGGCCUGUGACCAGCGGUGUUCCACUAGGAUCUGUGCUGUGUACACUUUUGAGUGAGAAUUUAGGAGGCAAGGUUACUAAAUUUGUGGAUGACACCAAAAUUGGUGGUAUAGUCAGCAGUGAAGAAGACUUCCAAAGAUUACAAAGUUAUUUUGAUCUAAUGAAUCAAUGGGUUGAGGAGUAAUGGAUGGAGUUUUAAUUUGAAUAAAUGUGAAGUAUUGCAUUUUAAUAAAACAAACAAGGGCAGGACUUAUACAGUUAGUGGUAGAGCCCUGCAUAAUCUUGUCGACUAGACUUCCCCAGGGGUUCAGGUACGUAGUUCUUUGAAAUUUACAUUACAGGUAGACAGGGUGGUUAAGAAGGAAUUUAGCAUGUUUGCCUUCUUUGCUCACACCAUUGAGUAUAGGAGUUGGACCAUCAUGUUGAGGCUGUACAGUACAUCGGUGAAACCACUUUUGGAGUACGGUGUACAAUUCUAGUUGCCCUGCUGUGGAAGAAUAUUAUUAAAUUGGACAACGUUCAGAAGAAAAAAAAAACUAUCAGUACGUUGCCAGGACUGGAGGGUUGAGUUCUAAGGAUAGGCUGGGACUAUUUUCACUUGAGCAUAGGAGGUUUGGCUUUAUCUUAUAAAAGUGUCUCAAAUCAUGAGGGGCAUAGAUAAGAUCAAAGCCGAAUAUUUUUUUUUUCCCGAGUGGAUGAGUUCAAGAUUGGGGGCCUGUUGUAAGGUGAGAAGAGAAAGAUUUAAAUGGCACCUGGAGGGCAACUCGUUUAUGUAUAGAGGGUUGUAUAAGUGUGGAAUGAACUGCUCAAUAACUCUGCUGUAUCAAUAAAGGGAGUCAUGACUUUUCUAAUAA